rnacentral:rRNA from 1 species
ACACAUGCAAGUCGAGCGGAGACAGUGAGUAGCUUGCUAUGAGCUGUUUUAGCGGCGGACGGGUGAGUAACGCGUGAGCAACCUUUCCCAGACAGGGGAAUAACACACCGAAAGGUGUACUAAUACCGCAUAAGACCACGGGAUCACAUGGUUCUGGGGUAAAAGAUUUAUCGGUUUGGGGUGGGCUCGCGUCCGAUUAGGUAGUUGGUGAGGUAACGGCCCACCAAGCCGACGAUCGGUAGCCGACCUGAGAGGGUGAUCGGCCACAUUGGGACUGAGACACGGCCCAAACUCCUACGGGAGGCAGCAGUGGGGAAUAUUGGGCAAUGGGGGGAACCCUGACCCAGCAACGCCGCGUGGAGGAAGAAGGUUUUCGGAUCGUAAACUCCUGUCCUUGGAGACGAGUAGAAGACGGUAUCCAAGGAGGAAGCCCCGGCUAACUACGUGCCAGCAGCCGCGGUAAUACGUAGGGGGCAAGCGUUGUCCGGAAUAAUUGGGCGUAAAGGGCGCGUAGGCGGCUCGGUAAGUCUGGAGUGAAAGUCCUGCUUUUAAGGUGGGAAUUGCUUUGGAUACUGUCGGGCUUGAGUGCAGGAGAGGUUAGUGGAAUUCCCAGUGUAGCGGUGAAAUGCGUAGAGAUUGGGAGGAACACCAGUGGCGAAGGUGACUAACUGGACUGUAACUGACGCUGAGGCGCGAAAGUGUGGGGAGCAAACAGGAUUAGAUACCCUGGUAGUCCACACUGUAAACGAUGAAUGCUAGGUGUAGGGGGUAUCGACCCCUUCUGUGCCGCAGUCAACAC